CUGCAUCCACUGAUAGACCUUGAACAACCUGUUGUUCUUUUGGUUUGCACUGGGAUGCGAAAGAAAAAUAUCCCUGCGCUUUCUGUCUGUCUUUGUGGCGGCCCAGAUUGAAUAAGGGACUACAUCU
ensembl:snoRNA small nucleolar RNA SNORA31